UACAGAGGUCUCAAGCGUUGUUCGGAUUCAUUGGGCGUAAAGGGUGCGUAGGUGGCGGGGCAAGUCUGGUGUGAAAUCCCGGGGCUCAACCCUGGAACUGCACUGGAUACUGCUUUGCUAGAGUACUGGAGAGGGAACUGGAAUUUACGGUGUAGCAGUGAAAUGCGUAGAUAUCGUAAGGAAGACCAGUGGCGAAGGCGAGUUCCUGGACCAACACUGACACUGAGGAGCGAAAGCCAGGGGAGCAAACGGG
rnacentral:rRNA from 1 species